rnacentral:misc_RNA from 1 species
GCUUUGUGGGGAAAUUUGGAACCCUGCGGAGGAAAGGGAAAAUUCCCUUUAAACCCCUUUCCUUGGAUGAUCGAAUCUCGCAUUCCGUCAUCUCGCUUUGGUUCCCCUGUGUUGCAUACCUGUCKCAAAGGUAUCUCGUUGGCUAGAAUGACCCCGUUUCACCCCACGCUGUGAGUAACAUUGCGACCGAAGGUGAACCGAAAAGCAUUCAUCGCGUUCCACCCCGUUCACUUAACMUGUGGCGGGACUUGGCCCACRAUGACGUGCUCAAAUUCUCGGAUGCGGAACACAAAGUGGGUACAAGGAACUCGAUCCUCCGUUUACCCCCGAACAAGCGUUCUACGCUUUGUGCGAAAGACGUUCUUUCUCGUUCUGGGAUUUCGUCCACACGAGGUCGACGUCGCAGAGGAAUGCUACCUGGUUGAUCCUGCCAGUAGUCAUAU